CGACCCCCGACCCCAGCCACCUUCCGCUCCGACCUGGGCGACCUGGACUCCAUUAUAACGCUUCAGAAGAUUCCAAAGCACAAGUUAAUAAACACCACCUAGGAUGUCAAAGAAUUCUGUUUAAGCAGUGGAAGAAAAACAAGUGGCACAAUGCUAGAUUUUGAAGGAAACCAAAACCCAAAGAAAGGUGACUUGUCUCCAUUUUGGGGCAUGGGGCUUGGUGACACAACUUCCUCUCUUUCACCAGGAGUCUUUUCCUUAUAAAGAGCAAGUCACUCAGGUGCCUGAUACCCAGGAACCAGGCUUGGAUAUUGGCUAAGCCUCUGUCCAGGGAUUGGAGAGAAAAACAGAAUAAAACAAAAUACACUAAGGGAGAUAAUGUACAGAGCUAUACCCACAGCUCAGUUCUUCAGGGGCUGAUCGUAUUCUGUGUGCAAGUAAUCCUGCAGUUUGAAGAGAAAGAUAGCAGGACUGCAGGAGCCAGGCAAGGUGGGAAUCGGCCAGAAUGCUUCUUAAAACUUCUUUCUAUAGUAUCCAAGAGAUGGUUGGAUGGUGUCACUGACUCAAUGGACAUGAGUUUGAGCAAGCUCCAGGAGAUGGUGAAGGACAGGGAAGCCUGGCAUGCUGCAGUCCAUGGGGUCACAAAGAGUUGGACACAACUGAGCAACUGAACUGAACUGAUGGCCCCAGUUGUGGUCAUUUACAAGCAGGGGGUGGCAUAACAUCUUUUAAAGAUUCAUAAAGCAAGUAAUUUUAAGUUGUAUUCCUUUAAAAAUUAAUGACAUUUCAUAGUAUGUUUCAGAGGAACAGUAAUAAC
ensembl:lncRNA